rnacentral:rRNA from 1 species
AGAGUUUGAUCAUGGCUCAGGAUGAACGCUAGCUACAGGCUUAACACAUGCAAGUCGAGGGGAAACGAUAUUGGAAGCUUGCUUCCGAUAGGCGUCGACCGGCGCACGGGUGAGUAACGCGUAUCCAACCUGCCCAUCACUUGGGGAUAACCUUGCGAAAGUAAGACUAAUACCCAAUGACGUCUCUAGAAGACAUCUGAAAGAGAUUAAAGAUUUAUCGGUGAUGGAUGGGGAUGCGUCUGAUUAGCUUGUUGGCGGGGUAACGGCCCACCAAGGCAACGAUCAGUAGGGGUUCUGAGAGGAAGGUCCCCCACAUUGGAACUGAGACACGGUCCAAACUCCUACGGGAGGCAGCAGUGAGGAAUAUUGGUCAAUGGGCGAGAGCCUGAACCAGCCAAGUAGCGUGCAGGAAGACGGCCCUAUGGAUUGUAAACUGCUUUUAUAAGGGAAUAAAGUGAGUCUCGUGAGACUUUUUGCAUGUACCUUAUGAAUAAGGACCGGCUAAUUCCGUGCCAGCAGCCGCGGUAAUACGGAAGGUCCGGGCGUUAUCCGGAUUUAUUGGGUUUAAAGGGAGCGUAGGCCGGAGAUUAAGCGUGUUGUGAAAUGUAGACGCUCAACGUCUGCACUGCAGCGCGAACUGGUUUCCUUGAGUACGCACAAAGUGGGCGGAAUUCGUGGUGUAGCGGUGAAAUGCUUAGAUAUCACGAAGAACUCCGAUUGCGAAGGCAGCUCACUGGAGCGCAACUGACGCUGAAGCUCGAAAGUGCGGGUAUCGAACAGGAUUAGAUACCCUGGUAGUCCGCACGGUAAACGAUGGAUGCCCGCUGUUGGUCUGAACAGGUCAGCGGCCAAGCGAAAGCAUUAAGCAUCCCACCUGGGGAGUACGCCGGCAACGGUGAAACUCAAAGGAAUUGACGGGGGCCCGCACAAGCGGAGGAACAUGUGGUUUAAUUCGAUGAUACGCGAGGAACCUUACCCGGGCUUGAAUUGCAGAGGAAGGAUUUGGAGACAAUGACGCCCUUCGGGGUCUCUGUGAAGGUGCUGCAUGGUUGUCGUCAGCUCGUGCCGUGAGGUGUCGGCUUAAGUGCCAUAACGAGCGCAACCCCUCUCCUUAGUUGCCAUCAGGUUAAGCUGGGCACUCUGGGGACACUGCCACCGUAAGGUGUGAGGAAGGUGGGGAUGACGUCAAAUCAGCACGGCCC